GAGAGCCGUAUACUCGGAGACGGGUACGUACGGUUCGGGGGCAGAUUCAGGGAAACCUACUACAGCAAUGUAGUGCAAGGCGCCAGGUCUCGAGCCUAC
rnacentral:ncRNA from 1 species